rnacentral:misc_RNA from 1 species
GAUGAAGAACGUAGCGAAAUGCGAUAAGUAGUGUGAAUUGCAGAAUUCAGUGAAUCAUCGAAUCUUUGAACGCACAUUGCGCCCUUUGGUAUUCCUUAGGGCAUGCCUGUUCGAGCGUCAUUUAAACCUUCAAGCUAAGCUUGGUGUUGGGUGACUGUCCGCUUCACUGCGGACUCGCCUCAAAAUUAUUGGCGGCCGGUACAUUGGCUUCGAGCGCAGCAGAAACGCGAACUCGGGCCCGUCGUAUUGGCUCCCAGAAGCUAUCUUCACAAUUUUGACCUUGGAUCAGGUAGGGAUACCCGCUGAACUUAAGCAUAUCAAUAAGCGGAGGA